GUGGGGAAUAUUGCACAAUGGGCGGAAGCCUGAUGCAGCAACGCCGCGUGAGGGAUGACGGCCUUCGGGUUGUAAACCUCUUUUAGCAGGGAAGAAGCGAGAGUGACGGUACCUGCAGAAAAAGCGCCGGCUAACUACGUGCCAGCAGCCGCGGUAAUACGUAGGGCGCAAGCGUUAUCCGGAAUUAUUGGGCGUAAAGAGCUCGUAGGCGGUUUGUCGCGUCUGCUGUGAAAUCCCGAGGCUCAACCUCGGGCCUGCAGUGGGUACGGGCAGACUAGAGUGCGGUAGGGGAGAUUGGAAUUCCUGGUGUAGCGGUGGAAUGCGCAGAUAUCAGGAGGAACACCGAUGGCGAAGGCAGAUCUCUGGGCCGUAACUGACGCUGAGGAGCGAAAGGGUGGGGAGCAAACAGGCUUAGAUACCCUGGUAGUCCACCCCGUAAACGUUGGGAACUAGUUGUGGGGACCAUUCCACGGUUUCCGUGACGCAGCUAACGCAUUAAGUUCCCCGCCUGGGGAGUACGGCCGCAAG
rnacentral:rRNA from 1 species